rnacentral:tRNA from 1 species
GCUCCCAUAGCUUAAGAGGAUAGAGCAAGGGUUUCCUAAACCCUAGAUCCCAGUUCGACUCUGGGUGGGGGCG